rnacentral:rRNA from 1 species
CCUACGGGUGGCAGCAGUGAGGAAUAUUGGUCAAUGGCCGUAAGGCUGAACCAGCCAAGUCGCGUGAAGGAAGAAGGAUCUAUGGUUUGUAAACUUCUUUUAUAGGGGAAUAAAGGUAUCCACGUGUGGAUAUUUGCAUGUACCCUAUGAAUAAGCAUCGGCUAACUCCGUGCCAGCAGCCGCGGUAAUACGGAGGAUGCGAGCGUUAUCCGGAUUUAUUGGGUUUAAAGGGUGCGUAGGUUGUUUUUUAAGUCAGCGGUGAAAGUUUGCGGCUCAACCGUAAAAUUGCAGUUGAUACUGGCAUCCUUGAGUACAGUAGAGGUAGGCGGAAUUCGUGGUGUAGCGGUGAAAUGCUUAGAUAUCACGAAGAACUCCGAUUGCGAAGGCAGCCUGCUGGACUGUAACUGACGCUGAUGCUCGAAAGUGUGGGUAUCAAACAGGAUUAGAUACCCGUGUAGUC